CCUACGGGAGGCAGCAGUGAGGAAUAUUGGUCAAUGGACGCAAGUCUGAACCAGCCAUGCCGCGUGCAGGAAGACGGCUCUAUGAGUUGUAAACUGCUUUUGUACGAGGGUAAACGCAGAUACGCGUAUCUGUCUGAAAGUAUCGUACGAAUAAGGAUCGGCUAACUCCGUGCCAGCAGCCGCGGUAAUACGGAGGAUUCAAGCGUUAUCCGGAUUUAUUGGGUUUAAAGGGUGCGUAGGCGGUCGGAUAAGUUAGAGGUGAAAUCCCGAGGCUCAACUUCGGAAUUGCCUCUGAUACUGUUCGGCUAGAGAGUAGUUGCGGUAGGCGGAAUGUAUGGUGUAGCGGUGAAAUGCUUAGAGAUCAUACAGAACACCGAUUGCGAAGGCAGCUUACCGGCGCGCAACUGACGCUCAUGCACGAAAGCGUGGGUAUCGAACAGGAUUAGAUACCCCUGUAGUC
rnacentral:rRNA from 1 species